ACAAACCACCGAGCCAGGGGAUUCCCUGCCAGGCUGGGGCUGGAUGGCAGCACCCCGCAGCGUCUCGGCUGCUUUUCAGGAGUACCUGCAGCACCUGGGGCUGCAGGACUUCCCCUGUGGCAUCGGCAGCUGGAACAAAUCUCGCUUCCAUGGCCGCAGGAGCUCCCGGCUGGAGGAGGCUGUGCCACCGGGAGAGGAGAGCCCCGAGGCGCUGCUGGAGCUGCUGAGAGACCCACACAGCCCCUGGGCACUGCCCCCCGAGUGCAGCCCCCUGGACCGGCUCCUGCGGGAAGUGGCCGUGCUGGCACCCGAGCUCCUCCGCGGCUCUGGAAUCUUCCAGCUUGUCAAGUCCCUGCGGAUACUCGACAAGGGGGUGGAGGAGGUGGAUGAGGGUCUGCUGCAGUUCCAGCAGCUGGAGGAGCUCAUCCUCAGUGCCAACCACAUCAGCAGAGUAAGCUCAGCCCACCUGCCCCGGACUCUGAAGGUCCUGGAGCUCUGCUACAAUGCUGUGGGUGAUCUGCAGGACCUGUGUGCUCAGCCACCCCCAGAGCUCCAGCACUUGGGGCUGGGCUACAACCGACUGUGCGGCCCUUCCCAGGAAAAGCACCUCACUGUGGAUUUCUGGCCAAACCUCAUCUCCCUUGACCUGAGCUUUAACAGCCUCACAGACCUGCCAGGGCUGGUGUCCCAACUGUCCACUCUGCCCAACCUCCACAUCCUGCUGCUCCAAGGGAACCCACUGGCUCUCACCCCCACUUACAGAGGCUUCCUUGUGGACAGCCUGCCCAAGCUGUCCAUCCUCGAUGACAUCCACAUAUGGCCUGAAGAGAGGGAGCACUUCUAUGGUCUGGCAAGGCAGCCAGAGCUGAUCAGGAGUGAAGCACGAGUGGUUGUGAGCAUUGGGGAGUUGAAGGGACUCCCCAAUCCUGAAGCUUUUCAGCAGCUGGAGGUUGGCUCUGAGGGCCCAGUGAUCACCUACAGCUACUAUGUGACCUACGAGUUUGCAGAGGGAGAGGAGCUCGAGGACAGGGGCAGCCCUGAGGGAAUAAAAAUCCACCAGAAUUCCACAGUGGCCCCGCUGGAUGUGGACAGCUCUGCUCAGGACACAGAGGAAACAAAGAACCAUCAGGAACCUGCUGCCACAGAGGAGCCCAAGACCCACUCUGCAAAGGUGUUUGCCACCCCUGGACAGCCCUGGGCAGACACCAUUGACUGCAGCUACAGGAAGGAACACGUUGACAAGGACUUGGUGGGGCUGAAGGCCUACCUGGAGGCUGGAACGAUUGUCUCAGUUGUGGAGGAGAAGGUGCUUUCAUGGCCUGUGGAUGCUGAUGCAGAAGAAAAUGCUGCCACAAAUAAGAAGGAAGGACAGGGACUGAAGAAGAACAAUGCAAAGGACAAGCAGAAAAAGAAGAAGCAGCAGCAGCAGCCGAGUGAAUUCCGCAGCGACCCUCCCAUUCGGAGCACCCUGGGCACCACGAGGGUGACCUUGGACACCCUGCUGGCCACCGAGGACCUGGUGGCAACUGUGUGUGACUUUGGGAUCCUGAUCCCUGAGAAACCACCAGUUGUGGAGGAGAAGGAGGUAAAAAAAGGCAAAGGCAAGAACAGAAAACCCAAAGCAGAGAAAGAAAGUAAGACCAGCCAGAAAAGUGAGACGACUCCCAAAGGUGACUGAGGCUGGAGCUGGCUGGGCAGAGGGUGGGGUGUGUGAGAGAACAAACAGGAGAGAGUCCUGCCACCCUGCCAGCUCCAGGAGCAGGCACUUACUCACAUCCUGAGCCGUGAAUACAGACAUUGACUGCGGGGCUGCAGCACAGACACAGCCUGGACUCAUUUUAUGAGUCUGAGGGUGGGCUGUGAGACACACACCUACAGCACCCUGUGCCAGGGGAGAAGGGCAAAGCAGAUUUUUGGGUGAGAAAAGCGCUGCCCACUGUGUCAGCUGCCAAACGUGGGCGGUGGCGUGGGCGGGCAGCUGGGCGAGGGUGCCUGGGGUGCAUAACGAGCUCCUCAUCCACUGCCAGCUCCCAUCUCCAAGCACUUUGCAGAGGGGAUUAUUGUUCUCUCUGGUUUGGAGAGGAGAUGCACAGAGAGCCCCAGGUGCCCCAGCCAGCCCUUGGCAGGGCUGGAAACGGAUCCCAGUCUGCUGUCAUCCAUGGAGAGAGCACCCUGACCCUGCCUGGUGUGUCCCUGCCUCCCCAGUGCAGAGCUCAGGGCUGCUCAGCCAGCAGCGUUGCUUAAUCUGCCAGAAGUAAACCUCACCCUGCCUCUUGCAGGUUAUCUUUCCAGCAGUCUUGGUUUUGACCACAGAAAUAUCAGUGCCAGCACAUCGGAGAGGGGAAAAAGAGAUAAGAGAGUGGGAGGAAGUGGGAAGAGGGAUGAGGUGGCCAAGCAAUGCUGGAAAGCUGCUUGUGGGUCAGGGAGGGCAUGGGGAGGGCCAGGCCUCCAGCACUGCUCAGAGCUACCAAAGGAGCUUUGCUCUUCUGCUGUGGCAUCAGAUUUAAGAGUGCAAAUAACCCACAGAGCUCCAGGCUGCUUUCCUGUGCCCUGUCACCCACAGCCACGUCCCAUCUCUGGGGAGGCUCUCAGAGCUCUGCAGUCCUGGGCUGUGUCUGCACUCAGAGAAGCCUGUGGCCUCUCCCAGCAAUUUGAAAAGAACUCCUCGAAUUGCUGUCCCCAAGAAGAUGUGUAUUUACAAUGUACACUCAGCCUGUUGCUGUGGCAGGCAGCUGCUGUCAAACAGCUCAGCUUCAGCAGUGGUUGUUUCUUUGUUCCUUCCCUCCCUGGUGUGUGGUCAGUGCGUGCAGGUUUCCCUUCAGCUCGAAUCAGGGUGCUGUAGUGUGCACAGAAGUGCUGCUGCUAUAGGAAACCAACAUUAAUUAGAGAUUUGUGCUUAAUUUGGUGUCCCCGUGUGCCUGUGCACUGUGAGGCCACCUUCCAAAGUGUGAGUGCAAAAUUCACAGUGCCUAAAAAUGAGCUGCCCCACAUCUCGCUGCACCCCCUGCUCCAGCACUGGCCUGUGAGUCACAGCUGUGGUUUUUGGGGGGCUGCUCGAGCCCUGCUGAGCUCAGUGCCUGCACAUCCUGCCUGUCCCAUGAGUCACCAGCUGCUUUGGGACAGUUUGACACUGGCUCUUCACCUGGGGACCGUGCACCUCCUCGGAGCUGUGACAGUGGCCGUGCCCCGGGGGACAGGGGUGGCUCCCAGCCCUGUGUCCAGCGGGGCUCUGCAGGGACCGGCACUCUCACAGCCGGGAGCUGGGCUGAUUUGCAUCCCUCAGUCAGCAAAUGCACACAAAUAAUAAGUGUUCUCAGAGGAAUUGGGAUCACUUCCAGACGGCUCAAAGAGGAAAGGCUUUUGUCACAAGUGAGCCAUUUGCCCAGACACUGAAGGAUGUCUUCAGAAGUAGUCUCACGAAAAGGAAAAAACAAAGAAACUGCUGAAGUGGAGGAGGGUCAGGAGCUCCAGCCGGUGCC